AUUGAACGCUGGCGGAAUGCUUUACACAUGCAAGUCGAGCGGCAGCGCGGGGCAACCUGGCGGCGAGCGGCGAACGGGUGAGUAAUGCAUCGGGAACGUACCCCGUCGUGGGGGAGUAACUACCCGAAAGGGUAGCUAAUACCGCAUACGACCUGAGGGUGGAAAGCGGGGGACCGAAAGGCCUCGCGCGAUGGGAGCGGCCGAUGCCGGAUUAGCUAGUUGGUAGGGUAAAGGCCUACCAAGGCGACGAUCCGUAGCUGGUCUGAGAGGACGACCAGCCACACUGGAACUGAGACACGGUCCAGACUCCUACGGGAGGCAGCAGUGGGGAAGUUUUGGACAAUGGACGCAAGUCUGAUCCAGCAAUGCCGCGUGCAGGACGAAGGCC
rnacentral:rRNA from 1 species